CGCAUGUUUGAUCAUGGCUCAGAUUGAACGCUGGCGGCAUGCCUUACACAUGCAAGUCGAACGGUAACAGGUUAAGCUGACGAGUGGCGAACGGGUGAGUAAUGUAUCGGAACGUGCCCAGUCGUGGGGGAUAACUGCUCGAAAGAGCAGCUAAUACCGCAUACGCCCUACGGGGGAAAGCAGGGGAUCGCAAGACCUUGCACUAUUAGAGCGGCCGAUAUCGGAUUAGCUAGUUGGUGGGGUAACGGCUCACCAAGGCGACGAUCCGUAACUGGUUUGAGAGGACGACCAGCCACACUGGGACUGAGACACGGCCCAGACUCCUACGGGAGGCAGCAGUGGGGAAUUUUGGACAAUGGGGGAAACCCUGAUCCAGCCAUCCCGCGUGUGCGAUGAAGGCCUUCGGGUUGUAAAGCACUUUUGGCAUGAAAGAAACGUCAUGGGCUAAUACCCCGUGAAACUGACGGUACCUGCAGAAUAAGCACCGGCUAACUACGUGCCACCAGCCGCGGUAAUACGUAGGGUGCAAGCGUUAAUCGGAAUUACUGGGCGUAGAGCGUGCGCA
rnacentral:rRNA from 1 species